GUUUCUGCUCUCUUGCCAACUCCUUGGCUUGACAAUGACAGCAAUGGAGUAGGAAAGAGCACAAACAUAUCUGGAACCAGGCUAGAAGAGGCUAUGUGAGAGAUGGAAACAGAUCUGGGACCAGGCUAGACGAGGCUAUGUGAGAGAUGGAAACAGAUCUGGGACCAGGCUAGACGAGGCUAUGUGAGAGAUGGGAAACAGAUCUGGGACCAGGCUAGACGAGGCUAUGUGAGAGAUGGAAACAGAUCUGGGACCAGGCUAGAUGAGGCUAUGUGAGAGAUGGGAACAGAUCUGGGACCAGGCUAGACGAGGCUAUGUGAGAGAUGGAAACAGAUCUGGGACCAGGCUAGAUGAG
rnacentral:lncRNA from 1 species